UCUUGGGAUAUUUUCACAUGCCCGAAGCCGAUUCUCGGACUCGACAGUUUGCUGCCAUGGCCUUCCUAGCUUUGAGGAGUCUGCCUACAUUCAGAAGACAAUGCGACAUCCUGAGGAAGCCUUGGAGAGAGAUUGCUGCUAGCUGAAGGAGGCAAAUGGAAGCCCUGGCCAUAAGGCUGUUAUUGCGGGCUUUAAAAGAGAAGGCACCUGAUGGAGGUGAGUGCCUUAGAGCCCACUUGCUUGUGCUUUUCUUUUUCUUUUUCUUUUCUAUGGUACCAGAAUUCCAUGCUGACUCUUUUCCAAGACAUUUGCUAUUAACACCAAAUAGAAACCAAAAGCUAAACUUUUUUUUUUUUUUAAAGAGAGGUAUUUGCUUCCUCAUAUUAAGCAAAAAGACCCUAGAGUCUGGGUAGCUAUUGAUGGCUUUUUUUUUUUUCCAGUUGGAAGGGCAGGGCCACAAAGCAUGGCUACAGAACGCCUUGGCUUUUCUAAGGCAACACUGCCAUCAUGCGGAGAUAGUUUCAUAAAUUCCUUGUGCCUA
rnacentral:lncRNA from 1 species